rnacentral:lncRNA from 1 species
UCCACUCUUGAAUCCCUUCCUCUCAAAAUCUCUCUGCAACUUCAGCUAAACCCUAGCCGCCGCCACCCAAAUCCACCUUAAUACCUUUCAAUCCCUACCUAACCAGUGGGCUCCCAGGCGGGUUGAGGCGUGUACUCGUCUCCUAUGUCUAAUGGUUACCUAUUUUCAUGAUUCCAUGGAGAGAUCUUAAAGGGAUCUAGUCUAGUUAUGGUUCAACUUCUAUAUGUGGCUUUUUUUCGGCCAGCCAUAACUAUUCAAGUCAGACCCUUGACUUCUCCGUCUAGAUCGGUAACUUUUCAAAGUCUUUCUCACUUUCUCUAAGUUUUCUGCUUUAAGAGCUUUCCUAUUUUUCUUUUAUAUCGAUCUUAGAUCUACGCAGGUUAUGAAUUCUUGAUGUUUCCCAAAAGGCUUUUCUUUCAAAGUGACUCUUCGUUUUCAAAUUAGUGUUUCUUAGACUCUUUUCAAAAGAUCUUUUCUCCGAUUCUGAGUGUGUUUUAUGAUUUUACUAUGUUUAAAUAGUUUGUCCAUGUUUUCUGCUAUCUGGUUCAUCGUGUUAAAAACCUAAGUGUUUUGGUUCUACUUUGGGGUUCUGAAACCCUCUUUGUUUAUUUUACGCAUGCUUAUUUUGAUAAAGUUCUUUAUGGUUGGAUCCUCUUCUUUAUUGAUUUAGAGUUCUUACCAUUUUUAUUAAUUCGACUGUUGUUAAAAACCCUAAUUUCUUAAAAGGGUUUUCCUCACUUAUUGCUAUCAGUUUAAAGCCUUUACUUGUUUCUGUGUGUUGAUCUCUUUUACCUGUUACUAUAUUUUCUUCACUUUUGAUUCUAUGUAACUACUUGAACUUGUUGACUACUGUGCUUUGAGUAGGUUUCUUUUACUUCUAAGCCCUAGCCUACUCCUGUUACUGCUGUAUGAUUGUAUGCACCUAGUUGUUUCUUUAGUCCAUACGGUUGGUAUGGCAUAUUCAUUCUUCUAUAUUUUUAUGGAAAAUUACAGAAUAAUGAUUCUUUUUUGACUGAUAUUGAUUUCCUUAAGUUAUGACUGAUUGCAUAUUUUUGCUCAUAAACCCCUGGUUUCACUCAUUUUUUUUAAAUUGACUGGUUCCUUUCCUUUGCUGCGAUGUUUUACCUUUGCUUAACCUUUUCCCCAAUUAAGUGUGUUUUGAACUUGGACUCAAUUGUACACCAUAUAUUCCACUAUCCCUUGUAUGGCCAGAAAUCAAUAUUCCUCAAAUUUAUUUUCUUUCAUUAAUUAUCUAUGUUGGUAUCCGUUAAGCAGUAAUGCCUCAAUUAAAGGGAAGCUUUUGUGUUAAUUGAUUGAUUGUGAUUAUUUCCAUAUUUGUGUUAAGACUUUACUUAUUAAUUUAUUCUCUACCUGUUUUAAUAAAAAAUAUAAAUACCCUACCCUCUCUUCUUUAAAACACACGAUCAAUUAAGUUCAAAACAUACUCACACAUAAAAACUCUCUCUUUCUUUAAUAUUACUUGUGCUGCUGCCUUGUCUAGCCGGCUGAAAGCCAAGGCUAGACUGUGGAAUCUUGCUUGCUUUACCUUUAUGCACCUUGCUUUCUUUACUAGUAUGUCCUAGUAAAUUAUAAAACUUUAACGACAACAGGUUUCAGUUUCAUUCAUUCUUGCCUGUUGCAGUCAAGUUACAUUAUUCACAUGCUACAAUGUCUUCCCUUCCCCUUUAGAUUAAUGCAUUCCCCUAUGUGUGUUUCAAGGCAUACUCUGUCAAUCAUUUAUUCUGUACUUACUAUCCUAUGAAUCCCAACCCUCUAUCCCAUCCAAUGUGUUUGUGUUCUUCUGGCUGGUUUGUGAUCAUGCCAGUAUCAGCUAUUGCUGUGCAUGUCCAAACUAGACCCCUGUUGGGGUCAUGUGCUUAUAGAGAAAUGUGUCCCCAAAAUCCCUUGGCCCCAUUUGAAUGACUACUGAUUCUGUGUAGUUUUGAGUUUUACUACUACAAUCGAUUUCAAUCACCUAUGUCACUAACUGCUUUGAAAAUGGACUAUCAGUCCAUUUUUUUAAUAAAUCUCUUUCAACAUGUGUUCUGCACUUCCACCUAUUCUUAGAAUCUAGGUUCUGCCACUCUUGUGUGAGCCUUGCCUUGGAACCCUUGAGCUCCCUCUUAACUUGGACACAUAAGAGCUGGCCCUUCCACACUGAACUCAUUCUGUUUUCUUAUAAACAUUUGGGUGUGAGCAUUGCCCGAGAUCCCUUGAGGUCCUUAGAGGACUCUGACACACCCAUGUAUGAGAAAGUCUUUGGAACAAUAUUGGUUUUUGAGAUGGUUCAUUACAUAACUCAGAGAGGAAGUCAAGAUCAAGCUUCCUAUGGUUGUAAUUUCUUAUUUUUGCACUUCUUCUGUAAUUCAAUCAUUUGGUAUGUAAUAAUUUGUAAACAAAUAUUGGGGUGAUUAGUGAAGACGGUUGGGUAGUUAUAUAUUGUUGGUAAAUUGGGUAGAUAACAUCCUAUAUGGUCUAUUUUGAUUCAAAGUAUGGUAUGCUAGAU